rnacentral:rRNA from 1 species
GACGAACGCUGGCGGCGUGCCUAAUACAUGCAAGUAGGACGCAGUUGCGAACGGGUGAGUAACGCGUAGGUAACUGCCUAUUAGAGGGGGAUAACUAUUGGAAACGAUAGCUAAUACCGCAUACUAGUAGAAGGACCUGCGUUGUAUUAGCUAGUAGGUAGGGUAAUGGCCUACCUAGGCGACGAGACAUAGCCGAGCUGAGAGGGUGAACGGCCACACUUGGACUGAGACACGGCCCAGACUCCUACGGGGUGCAGCAGUAGGGAAUCUUCGGCAAUUGGGGGAACCCUUACCGAGCAACGCCGCGUGAGUGAAGAAGGUUUUCGGAUCGUAAAGCUCUGUUGUUCAGGAAGCGGUACUUAACCAGAAAGGGACGGCUAACUACGUGCCAGCAGCCGCGGUAAUUC